ACAAGCGGUGGAGUAUGUGGUUUAAUUCGAUGCAACGCGAAGAACCUUACCUGGUCUUGACAUCCCGGAGACCCUUAGGAAACGUAGGGGUGCUUCCAUCUGGAAGAAUCUGGAGACAGGUGCUGCAUGGCUGUCGUCAGCUCGUGUCGUGAGAUGUUGGGUUAAGUCCCGCAACGAGCGCAACCCUUGCCUUUAGUUGCCAGCAGUUCGGCUGGGCACUCUAAAGGGACUGCCGGUGUUAAACCGGAGGAAGGUGGGGAUGACGUCAAGUCCUCAUGGCCUUUAUGACCAGGGCUACACACGUACUACAAUGGCCGAUACAAAGGGCAGCGACACUGCGAGGUGAAGCCAAUCCCGUAAAAUCGGUCUCAGUCCGGAUUGGAGUCUGCAACUCGACUCCAUGAAGUUGGAAUCGCUAGUAAUCGUGGAUCAGCAUGCCACGGUGAAUACGUUCCCGGGCCUU
rnacentral:rRNA from 1 species